rnacentral:rRNA from 1 species
UACAGAGGGUGCGAGCGUUGUUCGGAAUUACUGGGCGUAAAGCGCGCGCAGGCGGAUCCUGCAAGUCCGGAGUGAAAUCUCACCGCUCAACGGUGAGGCUGCUUUGGAUACUGCGGAUCUGGAGACCGGUAGAGGCUGGUAGAAUUGCAGGUGUAGCGGUGGAAUGCGUAGAGAUCGGGAGGAACACCAAUGGCGAAGGCAGCUCGCUGGGACGUUACUGACGCUGAGACGCGAAAGCGUGGGGAGCAAACAGG